rnacentral:lncRNA from 1 species
GAUGUGGGACUCGAUCCAGGGUCUCCAGGAUCACGCCCUGGGCUGCAGGUGGCGCUAAACCUCUGCGCCACUGGGGCUGCCCAAGCUAAUCAAUUUAAAGACAUGGUGGCACCUGUCAAAGUGCAUCAGACACAGCAUCAUUGGAGAUUCUUGGCAGUACCAGUUAUUUUGGUCCAGUCACCGGCUGUGGGGUUUCAACAUGGCUGGUCCUGUUUUCCUUCCAGAGCUGGUAUCAAAUGGCUGUCCCUCAGAGGGCAGUUGCCCUGGUAGCUUCAAAAUCACUUCAGCUUUC